rnacentral:rRNA from 1 species
UACGUAGGUGGCGAGCGUUGUCCGGAUUUACUGGGCGUAAAGAGCGCGCAGGCGGUCGUUCAAGUCGCGUGUGAAAGCCCCCGGCUCAACUGGGGAGGGUCACGCGAUACUGAUCGACUCGAAGGCAGGAGAGGGUAGUGGAAUUCCCGGUGUAGUGGUGAAAUGCGUAGAGAUCCGGAGGAACACCAGAGGCGAAAGCGGCGCUCUGGGCUGCACCUGACGCUGAACUGCGAAAGCCAGGGGAGCGAACGGG